rnacentral:rRNA from 1 species
AUUGAACGCUGGCGGCAGGCCUAACACAUGCAAGUCGAACGGUAGCACAGAGGAGCUUGCUCCUCGGGUGACGAGUGGCGGACGGGUGAGUAAUGUCUGGGGAUCUGCCCGAUAGAGGGGGAUAACCACUGGAAACGGUGGCUAAUACCGCAUAACGUCGCAAGACCAAAGAGGGGGACCUUCGGGCCUCUCACUAUCGGAUGAACCCAGAUGGGAUUAGCUAGUAGGCGGGGUAACGGCCCACCUAGGCGACGAUCCCUAGCUGGUCUGAGGGGAGGACCAGCGGCACUGGAACUGAGACACGGGCCAGACUCGUACGGGAGGCAGCAGUGGGGAAUAUUGCACAAUGGGCGCAAGGCUGAUGCAGCCAUGCCGCGUGUAUGAAGAAGGCCUUCGGGUUGUAGAGUACUUUCAGCGGGGAGGAAGGCGAUGUGGUUAAUAACCGCAUUGAUUGACGUUACUCAAUGAAGAAGCACCGGCUAACUCUGUGCCAGCCGCCGCAGUAACAC